GAAGUUUGUUCAGCUGCUGUCAAUAAGGUCAUUAUUUAACUGUUUUCUAGAUGGAGACAGUUUAUCUUAUAAAAAUGUUUUAUUUUGUUUUUUAAAGGACAUGGUUCAACCUUGGCUUGGCUUUUGCAGUGGAGUACAGCAAAUCCUUUUUCUACAAACAAAAUGUUCUAAUUUACUGCCCUCGAUAAGAUCCCCAGGCUUGCUUAAAUUGUUCAAAGUGUUAGAGGUGCAGCCUAUGCCAAAAACCGUACUAGUAUAAAUAUUGCAUAUAUUUUCAAUUUGUGGGUGAAUGUAAUGCAAAACAAUUUUGGUUGUUAGGCACAUUGCAGGCAGGCUCUGCAGGCUUCCCACACACGUUGCAACCAAAGCACUUCAGUCCUGACAGUUAACACCAUAUGAUGUUCCACUCUUGAAUUGCCUUGUGAGCAGCAACUGCCAGCUCUGCCUGUGAGUUUUGGAAUAUUCAAACCCUGUAGACCUGACGACUGGUUUGAUUUUUUUAAUUUGUUUUCCUUAGCAUCCUGCUCUCUACACACUAUGAAUGUCUGCUUGCUGUGAAGGAUUCCUUCUGCAUACUUAAUUUUGCCUCCUGCCUCAUGUAAGCAGCUGCAAUCCUGCAACCUUCCCUGUUUCCAGAGCAUCCCUUGGAAGAUCCCUGGAGGGCAGGAAAAUGAGACCACUAGAAACAGGGAGCAGUGUGGUGCUGAAAAGAGGUCAGAAACGCUGUACCUCCAAAAAAGCUCAAGAAUACCACUGAAUCAGGGAGCCCUGUAAGCUCCUGUAAGCCUUUUCAUGGAAUGCACCAGCUUAUUUGGUCCAUCAACGUGAACUAGAGAAAUGAAUCUCACCAGGAGUCUUCAGCCUUGAUCCAAAAGCCAGCACUGGAAGAAACCCUCAGAAAUAGCUCCAUAAAGAUAUUGGUUUUCUUUUUAGAGCCUUGUCUGAAAAAAAUCAGCUUGAUGUGCCUGGAAUGGUUUUAGGAGUGUAAAAAAAAAUGAUAGUGCCACCUGAUUGCUAACUGAAGAGUUAUGUCUAUGGGAGUCAAAGUGAUCCAGGCAACCAUAAUGUCUGUUUUCCUCGAGCCUCAUUUAGGCUUUGCUCACUUUGACCAAGGUGGUGAACAAGCCCCCUUGGACAUAUUUGUUCUCAAACAAAGGUAAAGGGAUCAUGCCCAUCACCAUUUUCUGCAGAAGACAGCCAAGUAAGACCCAGGGAGGGGCACCUUUUCUCCCUCUCCAGCGUGGCUCUCUGUUGAACGAGGCUGUAAGGAGGCACAUCACAUUUGCAGCAUAUAUUGAUUUAUGAUUUCAAAGUGCUGAACAAACAGCCAUUUUUUCUAAACAGACCAUAAGCAAUUGCUCAUUAUCCCCCAUUUAAUAUGCAGGGAAAGUAGGUGGGCAAAUAACCUAGUUUGCUGUUCAAUUACUCCAGUGGGCCACGAUGUUGCACUAAUGCUGCUUCGUGUCCAGCUGCUCUGCUCGUGCUGAAUUAGCUGUGCUGCUGAGAGUGCCCAGCUGAAAAAGAAUGAACCUCAUCACCUCUCCUGAGCGUGCAGCAACAGCACACACAAUUAAUUGCACUUCUGGGGCUUGACACCUACUGUUCCACGUGUUUUGAUCCAUUUGUCGAUGUGGUGCCACUGAACCUCUGCACCCUGUCUGCGCUUUGACACAGAAAACAGUGGCUGAAAUGCAACUUCUCAUCUUACCAGAGAAAAGGCAUGUGGAAAAGCAACACUUUGCUGGCCUGCUUCCCUUUUUUCUCUUUGUCAUUUUUGUCUUUGCAUGGGUUACUCCACGGUCAAAUGCUGUACUUCUUGAUGAGCAAGGUGGCAAUAUCAAAACAUGUAGUGAAAUAAAGUAGCUAGAUUAAAUAAAUGAA